CCCCAAUCCGCGAAUUGGAAUAAAAAGGAAAGAAACGCGGUUUUUCUUCUUUUAUCGCGCCGAGAAUAUUCUCGGCCCAAAGGGCGAAUGAGGACGCCGCUGGAUUUUUACGCCCGAGGCCGGGUUCGGAAGAGACGCUUGUUUACCCGGGUCAAUGGCAAACUUUGAAGGAGACGGCGUUCCCACGAUUUACUAAAUCUGGUGGGGUUUCAUUUCAGCCAGAGAGGCAAGGGGGUUGGGCAGGAAUAACACCAAGCGAAAGGCUUAUUUUAACCCAGUUCGUUGGAACUGCGGGCGUUUCCUUCCGAGUAAACCUGGGGAAAAACGGCCUGUCGGAGGUGACCGCGGUUUACUUGCGUGUAAAGAGCAGUUGGGGAUCUUCGCUUAAGGUAAAACUUAAUCCCAGGGAGUUCAGAGGAUGUGCGAGGGGAAGCUUGAGCAGAGAAAUGACACCUGGCUGCAUUCACACGAUUACACCAGCCCAGCUCACCAGAUUGCUUUUUAGUCCUGGUUGUAAAUCCUGGAAAAGUGGGUGAGUAAACCUUGGCUGAAGAAAGCGAGGCCAGGGCUCCUCCAUGGCCCUUGAGUGGGUGGGGGGAGAUGUUUGAAUCAUUUGAGGUUCAGGGUUUGGAGGGAAGUUGUGUGAACAAGGGCAUGCUGUUAAGUCGUGAAGGGGGUGUGCUUUCUUAACCUAGGCGAAGAGUUGCACAUGUGAACCUACCAGUGGCAUAAGAGUGAGAGCGAGGGACAAACAGACGGACAGACAGAGGGGGAGAGAAGGAGAAGGGGAGAAAUAGAUAGGGAG